ACUCCUACGGGAGGCAGCAGUGGGGAAUAUUGCACAAUGGGCGCAAGCCUGAUGCAGCCAUGCCGCGUGUAUGAAGAAGGCCUUCGGGUUGUAAAGUACUUUCAGCAGUGAGGAAGGUGGGUAUGUUAAUAGCAUAUUCAUUUGACGUUUAGCUGCAGAAGAAGCACCGGCUAACUCCGUGCCAGCAGCCGCGGUAAUACGGAGGGUGCGAGCGUUAAUCGGAAUUACUGGGCGUAAAGCGCAUGCAGGUGGUUUGUUAAGUCAGAUGUGAAAGCCCGGGGCUCAACCUCGGAAUUGCAUUUGAAACUGGCAAACUAGAGUACUGUAGAGGGGGGUAGAAUUUCAGGUGUAGCGGUGAAAUGCGUAGAGAUCUGAAGGAAUACCGGUGGCGAAGGCGGCCCCCCUGGACAGAUACUGACACUCAGAUGACGAAAGCGUGGGGAGCAAACAGGAUUACCAUACCCGUGGUAGGCACUGC
rnacentral:rRNA from 1 species